rnacentral:rRNA from 1 species
GCACCGGCUAACUACGUGCCAGCAGCCGCGGUAAUACGUAGGGUGCAAGCGUUGAAUCGGAAUUACUGGGCGUAAAGCGUGUGUAGGCGGUUCGGAAAGAAAGAUGUGAAAUCCCAGGGCUCAACCUUGGAACUGCAUAUUUUAACUGCCGAGCUAGAGUAUGUCAGAGGGGGGUAGAAUUCCACGUGUAGCAGUGAAAUGCGUAGAUAUGUGGAGGAAUACCGAUGGCGAAGGCAGCCCCCUGGGAUAAUACUGACGCUCAGACACGAAAGCGUGGGGAGCAAACAGGAUUAGAUACCCUGGUAGUCCACGCCCUAAACGAUGUCAACUAGCUGUUGGGGCCGUUAGGCCUUAGUAGCGCAGCUAACGCGUGAAGUUGACCGCCUGGGGAGUACNGUCGCAAGAU